rnacentral:rRNA from 1 species
UACGAGGGGGGCAAAUGUUGUUCGGAAUCACUGGGCGUAAAGGGAGCGUAGGCGGGUUCUUAAGUUAGGUGUUUAAUCCCGGGGCCCAACCCCGGACCGGCACUUAAAACUGGGAAUCUUGAAUAGUGGAGAGGUCAGUGGAAUUGGGGGUGUAGCGUUGGAAUGCGUAGAGAUCCCCAAGAACACCAGUUGCGAAGGCGGCUGACUGGACACAUAUUGACGCUGAGGCUCGAAAGCAUGGGGAGCAAACAGG